UACGUAGGGUGCAAGCGUUAAUCGGAAUUACUGGGCGUAAAGCGUGCGCAGGCGGUUUUGUAAGUCAGAUGUGAAAUCCCCGGGCUUAACCUGGGAACUGCGUUUGAAACUACAAGGCUAGAGUGUGACAGAGGGGGUGGAAUUCCACGUGUAGCAGUGAAAUGCGUAGAGAUGUGGAGGAACACCGAUGGCGAAGGCAGCCCCUGGGUUAACACUGACGCUCAGGCACGAAAGCGUGGGGAGCAAACAGG
rnacentral:rRNA from 1 species